AGUGUGGGCUUGGGGUACGGAAGUGUCACAAUGUGUGGUGUGUGCUCCUCUUAUUUGCACAAGCAUAAGUCCAGGGUCACACGGCUUGGUUUACACUGAGUCACCAGGUCGUUGACACUUUCUGCCGGUCCCCUACGGGACCCUCACUCAGAUCAAUUCUGGACCCCACCGAGGCUGUCGCUGCUAUGUAUUCAAAUGCUAAUUCAAAUACUGAAUCCCAAGAACUGUUGGCCGCAAGAAGACUGAGUUCUCUCUCCAUGGGCUUUUGUUGUGCAAACUUUGCCGAGCACAGUUGAGAGUCUGCAACCAUUUCCUGGUGGCCAUCAAAUCCUUCCUGAAUCUGGAAAAUCUGGGCUGUUUUGAGGUGACAUUGACCCUGCACAUCAGCUUGGCUGAAGAAGCCAGUCAGAGCCAAGAGUAGACACCUGUGUUCUGCAGUCUGGCAGUUCCACAUCAGGAAGGACUCGGGGACAAAUCUGAACCGUGUUCCCAGCAGCCUGCGAGGGUGGCACUGUGGGAGUUCUGUCUCAGCUAAAUCAAGACUCAGUGAUGCUACUCUUCCGCGCCACAGAGGUAGCUGCCAGCUCUGCACGGGGGGUCAGUCAGUCAUCGCCUCCAGAGAGCACACAGACCCCCACACUACUAGGGUGAGAGAGGCAGUGGACGCCGAGACACAGGUAGGAAGCUGUGGAACGUCCAGGCAGUUGCAAGCAUGUCUGCAUAGAGGGCCCUGUGUUCCCACAGAACACUGUCGCUGCUGCCCAGUGCAGAUGGGGGUGAGGUGUGCGGGAACACGACUGAGAGUUACAAACAGCAACACCACAGAGUGUUCUCAAGAGCAUUCUCACCAAACUGCUAGCAGAUAGCACUGGGGUGAUGGGCUUAGGGAAGGUUCCUGUUCGUUCUCUCCUUUAUUAAUAUUGGGGAUGGACGGUGGAGAAGCCAGCCUCUCCUGUGUCCACUCUCCGACAUGUGGAAAAGUACAUGGAGGACUCCCCCAUCCCCAUCCCCACACUCCUUUUUUUUUUUUUAACCUUCCCAAAUAUCGGACCCAUCUACCUACACUCAACAUUCUACAAUGUUCCUUCAUGGACUGUUACGAGCCACCCUUGCAAAUGAUCGACUUUCGUUACCUGCCGUAGUCAUAUGCUAUAAAAUCACCACAAACAUGAGGGAACCAUAGGUCCUGAGGUAAAUGCAGGAUUAGGUUCCUGUGAGCACUCAGUCAAGAGGGGGCAAGUAUGUAUAUGUGUUGGCUAAAUACGCAAGUGCUGUUCCUCAUGUAGCUCAGGUAGUGGUCCAUUUUUUUCUUUUCUUUCUUAAGUCAGGGUCCUUACACUGGACAAGUAGGCUAAUCUGACUGGCCAGGGUUUCUCUGUGUAUCCCUGGCUGUCCUAUGUAGACCAGACUGGCCUCAAACUCACAGAAAUGUCCCUGCCUCUGUCUCCAGAUUGCUGGGACUAAAGGUGUGUGCCACUAUUGAUCAACUAGAGAGGAUCCAUUUGUCUGUCCUCCCCGAGUGCUGGCAUUUCAAACACACACGAUCACGACUUGGCUUUUUACAAAUAUUUUUUAAAUUUAUCUUAUUUAAUGUGCAUGUAUGUUUUGUUUGCGUUGCAUGAGUCUGUGGCACGUGAGUGCUUGGUGACCCUGAAGGCCAGAAGAGGCAUCAUAUCCUCUGGAACUGGAGGUAGAGAUGGUUCUGAGCAACCGUGUGAGUGAUGGGAAUUGAACCCAGGUCCUCUGCAAGUGCUCCUAACCACUGAGCCACACCUCCCAGCUCCUCCCUUUUAAAAAUGUGGGUUCUGAAAAAAGCAAGCCCCUCACUAUCUCUCCAGCCUCAUCCUAUAGUCUCAACCAAUCAACGUAUGAGUUUGGAGUUUCCGUUUAAAGAUACCUCUGUUCCUACAGUCUCCUAGGCACUCACUGAUGUCAGUUCACAACUAGCAAUUCUGUAACUCUCGCCUGAACAAAACUUACCAAACACACAUAUUUCUCUCUAAUGUCACUAACAGUAUGUAGUCACCCUUGUCAUAGGUCCCUCUGGGGAAGGACUGGAGAAAGGCUGACAGUAAAGCUUUUAGGUUUGUUUGUUUUUUAAGGUCCUUUCUCAGAGGAACCUGCCUGUCCCUUCACUCAAGAGGUUCUGGCUGUACAAAAUGUCUCAAGUCCAGAAAUUGGUUCACAGGUCAAAAUUCCCUUUUUGCCACAAUCCAAUGUAGCCUUUCUUUCAUUUGAGAAUUUUUGGAGGCUUCUUGUCUAUUUCAUGCCUGGAAACACCAUGAUUGAUUAGCCAGUACCAAAGGUCCAAGAGUCAUAUCACCAUAGAAACCACUUUGUCUAUACAGUCUGCCCAUUAUGGUCUAGCAUAAGGAAAAGGGUGACAGCAAAGCUCCCCAAGUGUGGUGGUGGCCCUCUCACCACUUUGUGUCUUAUAGAAUGAGUGACAGGCACAUCUUCUAGGCCUUCCCACUGUAGAGGAUCAGGUUUUACACAGAGUAUCCAUUCUAACAUUACAAAAACUCUAAUUUUUUCAAUGCCUGUUUUUAAUGAUGGUUCUUAAACUCUAACCUCCCUUGUAGCCCGCCACCCACCAAAGGUAGUGGAAAAAGAAAGGAUAUGGGGGAAGAGGAUCUGUUUAGAAAGGUUCUUUGGAGCAAGUCCCAUCUGUGUUGUCUGGAAAUCGGCAGUUCUGUUUACAGGUCAGCAGCAGCAGCUCGAUCCACUCUCAAGUUCAGCAGAGUCGGGUUAGCAAACACGAAUCAGCAGCCAUGGUACUACCUAGCAGAGACAGCCAGGUCUCAGCCUUGGCUUGAGUCAGCAGGAGGGACCAGGAGGAAUGCUGGGAGAGAAGUUCUCAGCUGUGCCUCUCUCAGGGAAGGGAAGAUCAGCAAAGACUUGAGCUAGACCCCCAGGCAUGGCACAACUGACUCCACGAGCAAGCCAAGGUCUAAAAGCUGCACUACGACAUUACAUCAUCAAAUUGGAUUUGUUCCUGUAAGUCAGCAUCACGCCCUUGACCAAGCGGCUGGUCUUUAGUCACAUUUGUACCCCUUGCUAAAUUACAUUGUGCCAGUUUUGUGGCUUCGUGCCUCUACCACAACAACCAUCGUAAUUGUUGACUGGCUUCUAGAACUGCUGACACCACCCACUUCCAACCUUGUGGGAUAACCCUGUGCUGUACAGCCCAGUUAUUUAGCAUUUCUUUGACAAAGAAAGAAUGUAAGCCGUGCAAUACCACAGCCUCCUUAAAAUGCUUUAAAUCUGACAGAUAAUCCUGUCCACCAUUGUUAGCAGGCAUAUGUUGCACAAAGACUGGGAAGGCUGAAGGUGGCUGUGUGGACCUGAGAAAAUUCUCUGGUGAUGCACUUGGGCUACCCUUUAACCUGUUGUACCUGUGCGGUUUCCUGCUCUUUCAGGCCCCUAGAAGCAGGGCUGGGUUAGCUUGCUUCCCGCUUUCAUCAGGCAGUACAUUCCGGUUCUCCUUCACCAAGCCUGAAGUUUGUCCUCCUCCCAGUGGCCUUUUCUGUUUUCUGAGCACUUUGUCCUUUAUCCACAAGCUCUCUAAGUGCAUAGCCAACUCUGCAAUCUUCUCUGACAGAAGAGAAUUGUCAGGUUUCCCAUUAAAACUUUUUCAGAAUAGCACACAUGAAAACUAUGAAGCAAAACCGAAGCAUUGCAAUUUCCCUGAACCUUAAAAUUCCUUCAUCAGCACUAAGGUAAGGGAUGUAAGCAUCUCCAACUCUUCCCGUAGGCCAGCUUUUGAUAAUAAUUGUGGGAGCACCCGUAUUAAAUCUAGAAUCUCCACUCAGAGGGCCCAUUUCAAUAAACUCAGCCUGAUUCGAUUUUAUGUUCCUUCCACCAUUAUCCCACACCCUUAAAAUCCGUUUCCACACAAAUUCCCCAGACUUCUGCUUGGAUCAAUUAGUAAACUCAUGAAGCUCUUUAGUAGUGUAGUGCAUCUCCUCAUGGACCAUGCUUUCUACCUCCCCUCUAGGAGCCUUGAGUCUGGUUGUAGGUCUAGAGGCAACUCUUGGUGGGCCCUGAGGGACAUCAGUAUUGUCUUGCCUGGCAUCUCCUUCAGGGAAUGCCACAGCUGCUUUAGCAGACAAUGAAGAAUUGAUUUCCCCAGGCAACGGUGGAAGAGGCAAUAUUUCAGUGCUUCUGGUGGCAGUAAAUCUUCUGCUGUGGGUGGAGAGACUAUUCCCUCAGGUGAAUCCGAAGGUUCAGGUUCUCAGCCCCAAUGGGGUACUCCCACACAUCUCCAUCCCAAGACACAGGGUCCCAUUCUUUAACCAGUUAAUGCCUUUACAUCGUGGGAGGCUGGGACUUAACAUUUUCUUUGUAAUUCAGCCAAUCAUUUUUUUUGUUUUUUUGUUUUUAACAUUUAUUUAUUUUUUAUGUAUACAUCAUACAGCUUUCUGCCUGCAUGUAUACUUGCAGGCCAGAAGAGGGCACCAGACCUGAUGAUAGAUGGUUGUGAUUAUAGAUGGUUGUGAGCCACCAUGUGGUUGCUGGGAAUUGAACUCAGGACCUCUGGAAGAGCAGACAGUGCUCUUAAACUCUGAGCCAUCUCUCCAGCCCCUUGUUUUGCUUUUCAAGAUAGGGUUUCUCUGUGUAGCCUCAGCUGUCCUGAAAUUUACUCUGUAGAACACCAGGCUGACCUUGAACUCAGAGAUCUCCCUGCUUCUGUCCUCCGAGUGCUGAGAUUAAAGGCACCACGCUCAGCUAAUCUUACAAUCAGGGCUUCCAUUUGAUUUUCCACAACUUGAGCUCUGUGGCUGCUGGAGAGGAGAUUUUCUUUCAUGGCACACUCAGAACCCUCUACACGGUUUAUGCACCUCUGGAACUGGUAAGUUUUACUUCCGAGUUCAUUGCUGUCCACUGUGUUCUGAGAUGAUAGAGGUUGGCUAACUUUAUCCCAGAGCACAUUGUUUUCCUUUGUUAAUUUAUUCAGGGAUGCUAGGAGCAAUCAAACAGCAGCGCUGUUUUCCUUAUUUUUCCAAAAAUUGUCAUACGUUUUAUAUAGAGAGUUGCCAAAUCUGUUGCCUCUCACAGUUGGCCAAUCAGGAUAGCCAAAGACAUUUGUCUCCUUUGUUUGUAAAAUAGUUCACACCGUGGGCUUUUAGGACUUUCCCAGCUUCUAGGAGAGUUUCAGUAACUGAGGUGGGGGCUCUGGUGAUUGUAGGUGUUGGAUACAUGGAAAGCCUAUUCCAGACACUUGAGAAAUUCAUCCUGUAGCAGUGAGUUUAGGCUACACUUCUUUGGCUUUUGGUGGAUCGAACACUCGAACACUCGCACCCACCCAGUAGCUAUCUUUGGAUCCUUGAAUGAAACACACAUAUACACACGCACACACUAGCUUGUUUUUAAAAUGCCUUGGCUACCUCAAAGGCUGGGCAUUCUUAAGCCUUCCCCUGCUACCCCAGGCUCAAUCCGGGAAGUGGUCAGAGGCCACCCACCUGAGUUCUCACAUGGCUCAUUGGUCCUCUCUCCUGCAACUCUCCUCUCCUACCACAUCCUGGCAAUCCUCUGUCUCCUUCCACUGAGUCCUAGCCCACACAACUCUAAGGCCCUGCCUCAGCCAUUGGCCAUUGGCAUCUUUACUGAUCGAUCAAAAACCAAUUGGGGACAAGGAAGAGUUUGGACACACAGAUUCCCAACUGAAUCAAAGCAUUAGAGCCAAUCUCCAACACAUCCUUAUACUUCUGCUGCUCUGUAACCACUUCUGGCACCGAAAUCUGUGUGAGUCUGGGUUCUUUAGAACUGAAUCAAUACACUGAAUGCAUAUGGCUUACAGGCUGUGUGGUCCAACUAGUCUAACAUGUCUUUCCAACAGAAAGUUCAAGAAUCCAGCAGUUGUUUGGUCCACAAGGCUGGAUGUCUCUGUUGGUUUUUGGUAUAUAUCAGAAUCCCGAAGAAAAAGAAUGCUCAAAUAGCAGUGAAGGAAGAGACUUGCAGUGAGAGAGACUAAAAGCCUCCUCCUUCUAUGUCCUCUACAUUGGCUGCCAGACAAAAGGGGGCUGGAGAGAUGGCUCAGUGGUUAAGAGCACCCGACUACUCUUCCAGAGGUCAUGAGUUCAAUUCCCAGCAACCACAUGGUGGCUCACAACCAUCUGUAAAGAGAUCCGAUGCCUUCUUCUGGUGUAUCUGAAGACAGCUACAGUGUACUUAUAUAUAAUAAAUGAAUAAAUCUUUAAAAAAAUUUUUUUUCAGAUUAAAAGUGUGGUAUUCCACUUCAAAUGACUUAAUUCAGGGAGAAAAAAUAAUCCCUCACAGGUGUGCCCAGCCACUUGGAUUUUAGUUAAUUCAAAAUGACAACCAAGAACAACCAUCCCAACCACCAUGCCUGACUAGAUGGAAGGGGUUCCCCCAACUGUGUUCCUCCCUGCAGGAGGCUACAUUGUUAUGAUAUCCUGGUGUCCUGUGGAUGCCACUCAGAAGUUUCAGGGAGAGGCCAUGGAGAUGGCUGAGAGCCAGCACGUGUUUCUCUGAUCUAGUCCUAGAGAUGCCAGCUUUCUGGGGACCCUUGUGUCACUUACACAGGGGCUGGAAAUGUGACUGUGACUUUCACCAUGCUGUUGCUGUGCCCUCUUUGGGCUCGGGCUCACCCAGGUCCAGCCUGGUCAUGGUCCCCCCAUCUUCAGGACUAUAAGUAUCUCACUGGGCUCAGCCUGGCUUCAGAUGGCUCUUGGCUGGGUGUGGGCCGCUGGCCACUUAGAAGGCCCCCUGUAAGGAUGAAGGGGAGCGGCCAGUCUCUGUCCACUUGCUUGGGGCCCCCAUGCUGAGAGUCAGAGCAGCUUCGAUUGCUAUGGGACCUUCCCAGCACAGGCGACUGUACCCCCAGGUCCCAGCCUCUCAGCUACAGGCCUUUGCUAUAGUUUGGGAGACACUGAGUUAUCGGUGACCCCUACUCUCUCUUCCAAUCCAUGCUCUACAUAUUUUUAUCUUUUUUUUAAGAUGUAUUUAUUUUUAUGUGUGAGUACACUGUCACUAUCUUCAGACACACCAGAAGAGGGCAUUGGAUCCCAUUACAGAUGGUUGUGAGCCACAAUGUGGUUGCUGGGCUCUUAACCACUGAGCCAUCUCUCCAGCCCCUCAACAUAUCUUUUCUCUGGAGCCUCAAGGCUUGCUUGGUGUCUGUGAGUCCCAAGGUGUGUCUACCUGCCUGGUUCAGACUCUGACUUCGGAAGCCAGGCUUUUCGUCUUUGGAAUAGAAGUAGAUCAAGCCCUAGCACUAACACUUAGCCUCUCCUCCCCAUGGCCACCGAACUCCUGGGAAUAGGGUUAGGGAUUGGGGGUGGCUAGUCAGGCAGUGACUAUCCCUGACUCUGGGGAUCCACAGAAAACAUGAGCCCUCAGCCAGAGAAAUCAAUGGGCAUUUGAUCCCUGAUGGACACCAUGCUGGCAUAGGAGAGUCCACAGUAGGAAGAAAGGGUUCUUGCUUUCUGUGCUGGAAGCCAGCGUGCAUGCUCUCCUGUCCUGGGCCAGGAAGAUGUUGCAUAUCCCAGCAAAUGGAAUUGUACAGCUGUGUCUGCUACAUAUUCUCUACUGGAACGGGCCUGUUUCCACCCUCCUGUCGGGAGUUACCGGUAGGUAUCACUACUCUACUCCCCCUGGGACUACAGAGGAUAGAAGGCGUCUUAGUCCGGGUUUCUGUUGCUGUGAUGGAACACCAUGAGCAAAGCAGCUUGGGGAAGAAAGUGUUUAUCUCUUCACAUCGCUGAAGGAAGUCAGGGCAGGACUUCCUGGAGGAAGGUGGGAACCUGGAGGCAGGAGAUGAGGCAGAGGCCAUGGAGGGAUACCGCUUCCUGGCUUGUUCCUCGUGGCUUGCUCAGUGUACUUUCUUCUGAUCCUCAGUCAGACGCGUUAUCGGUUGCGCCAAUGGGCCCAGUCUCUGUGCUUUCUUAAAGAACCUCAUACCACCAGCCCAGGGGUGGCCGCCCCCAUAGUCGGCUGAGCCCUCCCUCAUCCAUCAUCGAUGAAGAAAAUUCUCCUCAGGCUUCCCUGCAGCUCUUAUGGAGGCAAUUUCUUGAUUGAAGUCUUUCCUCUCAGGUGACGCUAGCCUAUGUAAAACUGGCAUAAAGUUAGCCAGCACAGAAGGCUAAGACUACAUUUCCCAGAAGCCCUUGCAGCCAGGCUGUGCCUGUGACUUACAUUCUGCUUAAAGAUAAACACUGAUGUGGCCCAGCACUGGUCGGCGAGCUCUGGCUCAAAAGGUUUUGGGGUAGACCCACCUUACGGCACUCUUCAGUCACGGGCUCUAUAUUAUGGUGACAGCGAGAUCCUCUGUCCUCUGAACUGGGUCAUGGGGAUGGUGUGAUCUUGGGUCUAUGGGACACCUAGUUCCCAGCUCCCAGCACACAAAAGCCCUCUAUUACACCUCUUUGCUUAAACAGCCAGAAUCUUUCUGGUUCCAGCUCACAACUCUGAAUAGCGCAGAAAGUACAUAGGUCAAAAAGGAGUGUAUUCUUACUGGGGAGAGUCAUGAGGUCAUUCCACAAAUAGUGACUGGGCUCUUUGUGUAGGUCAUACCUUAGGAAGAGGGGUGUUUUAGUUACUUUUCUGUGGCUGUGGUUAACAGCGAGACCAAGGUGACUUAUAGAACAGGCACUUUAUUUGGGUUCAGAGGGUUAAAGUCUGUGGUGAGAGAAGGCAUGGAGGCAGGAACAGGAAGCUGAGGGUUACAGUUAUUUUUUCAAGACGGUGUCUUUGUAUAACUCUGGCUGUCCUGAACUCACUCUGUAGACCAGGCUGGCUUUGAACUCAGAGAUUCGCCUGCCUCCCACGUGCUGGAAUUACAGGUGUGUGCAAGGGUUCACAUCUUGAACUGCAAGCGUGAAAUGAAAGAAACUAGAAAUGGCUUGUGUCUUUAAACUCUGAAAGCACCUGACACACUCUGAGUCAAUCAGGCUUCUUUAGAGGAACGGAACUGGUAGACUGAAUCUAUCUGUACAUAAAGGGGAUUUGGUCCAGUGGCUUACAGGCUGUAGUCCCGCUAGUCCAACAAUGGCUGACUACCAACAGAAGGUCCAAGAAUCCAGCAUUCCAUGGGGCUGGAUGUCUCAGCUGGUCUUCCAAUCACGCCAGAACCCCAGAGAAAUAGGCUGUAAUGCCAGGGAAGGAAGGGACUUUCCAUGGGAGUGAGGGCUUGCUUCUUCCUCGUGCUGUCUAAGGCGGCCACCAGAAGGUUCGCCUCACAGUUAGUAUAGGGUGGGUCUUCUGACCUUGAGUGGUCUGGAUUUAAGUGGUUUUUCCUACCUCGCAUGAUUCAAUUAACUAAAAAUCCCUCCCCAGCAGCUUGGGUUUUCAGUUAAUUCCAGAUGUCAUCAAGUUGACAACCAAGAGUAGGCACCACACAUUCAUUCCAACAGGGCCACACCUCUUAGUCCUUCCCCAAACAGUGGGGGUUGGGGAGGGGAGCAGGACCAAGCAUUAUAAUGCAUAAGGCUAUAUAAACUGUUAUGUUUUAAAACGCGGUAUAAUGAGGUGUAAUUGCAGUGGCAGCGGUAAUAAGAAUGUACGUGGCAGGCCCAUGCCAAGGUGUCCCCCUGAGGAAUCACACCAUGUGACAGGCCUAGUAUAAGGAAGAUUUCUUAUGGAGGAAAGGACAGGAGCGAGGACCUGGGGAAGUGCGGAGCAGAGCUAUGAGGGCAGAGAAGCCGGGAAAGAGAACAGAAAGAGAGGAAGGGAGGAAGAGAGGCCGGCCGGGAACAUGUGGGAACAGAGAGACAAGAGUUGGAGUAGCGUGCCUCAGUCCAGUCGUUUUAUAUGCCUGGCUCACACCAGACGGCAGGUGAUGAUGUAAGCUGUUGCUAGGUAGCUGUUGGGCGGAGCCUAGCAGACUUGUUUGUAAGCCAACUAAACCCCCAUGAUGGAUACAGAAAGACUGCAGAUUCACGCCCACUCCCAGACCUCAUACUUCAGUGCAGGAGAAAGCUGACCAAAACUGGGUGUAGUUGUUCACACCUACACUACACCUACAGCCUCAGUACUAAGGAUGCCGAGGUAGAAGACAGGGAACUCCAGGUCAGCCUGUUUUGCUUAGGUAAAUAUUGUCCAAGCCACAGCAGACAAGGCAAAUUACUGCUGUCUGUGCGCUCCAGGCAUAGACACUGUGGGAGUCCAGAGGAAGGCUGGGAUCGGUAAUUAAUCUAGAUACUUUAAUUCAUAAGCGGCUGAGCAGGCUGCCAAAGUGGUUCCAGGCCAGUCAGGGCUACACAGCAAGACCCUGUCUCAAAAAAAUGAGAGGGGGGCUGGGGGAGGAGAAGAGAAGAAAAGGGAAAAAACCUGGUGGUGGCAGCAUGCACCUUUAAUCCCAAGGUUCAAGAAGCAGAGGCAGGUGAACCUCUGUGAGUUCAAGACCAGCCUUGGUCUACAGAGUGAGUUCCAGGACAGCCAGGGCUACAUACAUAGAGAAAUCUCUUCUCAAACAAACAAAUACAAAACAAAACAGAAAACUGAAAGAAAAAAAAUUGCUUAGGAGGCCAGAGAGAUGUGCUUGUUAUGCAAGAAUGAGGAACUGAGUUUGCACCCCUGUGCUCACAUAAAGGCUGGGUGUGGGGGAAUCAGCCUUUAACCCCAGCACUGGCUAUUUGGAUGUGUUCCUGGAAUUCGUGAGCCAAACAGUCUAACCAAACAGUCAAACAGCCAGUUUCAGGUUUUGUGAGAGACACUGUCUCAGAAAACAAGACCUCUGGAACUCUAGCGUGAUUCUCUCUCUCUCUCUCUCUCUCUCUCUCUCUCUCUCUCUCUCUCUCUCUCUCUCUCUCUGUGUGUGUGUGUGUGGUGUGUGUGUGUGUGUGUGUGUGUGUGUGUGUUUAGGACAGGGAGGGCAUUGGGUGAUGAAAAGUGGUGGUGGGGUGCUCUCAGGAAUUUUCUAAAAUGUUUUCAGAAUGCCCCAGAACCAGCUUUCAAGCAAAGAAGGGCUCCUGGAAUUUUCGACUUGAAGACUUGACAUCUCCCAAGUCCAGUGGGAGAGCUGACUGAGCUCCCCGGGCAGGUGUGGCCUCCAGCCACCUCCCCAUGCAAGAGUGCAACAGCAGCCUGGUGGCCCCAAGCUCGGCCUUCCAGAAGACAAUGGCUGUGGUCCUUUCUCACACGUCCUGAAAGAGGAACCUGUACAGAGGAUCUGUGGGAUGGGUUGCCACCGUUCAGGACUUCUCUCGCUGUGAUGGAAAGUCAGGUACAAACUCAAGGCAGCAAACCUGGAGACAGGAGCUGGUACAGAGGCGAUGGAGGAGUGCUGCUUACUGGCUUGCUCUCCAAGGCUUGCUCAGUUUUCUUAUGUCACCUGAGACUACCUGCCCAGGAGCUACCACUUACAGUGGGCAAUCCUACAUCAACCACUAAUUAAGACUUGCCCAGAGACCAAUCUUAUGGAAGCAUUUCACAAUUGAGAGUCCCCACUCCCACCCCAAUGACUCUAGCUUGUGUCAAGUUGACAAAAGCUCAAACCAAACCAAAACACAGUCACCACCCACUUUACUGGGUGAGCUUUUCUUCAUUGGCUGAAGUUGGUGCCUUUCACGUCUGGCUGGUCCGUGGCUACCUUGGAGCCAAUCAGCUGUGGUUAGGGGAAUACAGACAUUUCCUUUCGAGUCAGACCCACAGUAGUGGUUGACUUUUGUGACCUUCUUGGCAGGACUCAGUGGCUGCCAGUCAGUAAAGUGCUGGCCAACUUGAGCUGCAGCCUUGCUUUUUUUUUCCAUAAAGUGGUGGAGAUAACAGGAACACGAAACAACUUGAGCUAAUGGCCCUUCCAGAGCGCUAAAGAGGUCUGCAUAGAUCCUAAAGGACUAGACACCAAAUCUCCUUUUUUUAAAAAAAGAUUUAUUUCAUGUAUAUGAGUACACUGUCACUGUCUUCAGACACACCAGAAGAGAGCAUUAGACCUCACUUCAGAUGGUCAUGAGCCACCAUGUGGUUGCUGGGAUUUGAACUCAGGACCUCUGGAAGAGCAGUCAGUGCUCUUAACCGCUGAGCCAUCUCUCCAGCCCCCCAAAUCUCCUUUUUAAAUCCUGACAGUUACACGCAUUUGCUUCUAGACAUAGAAUGUGGGGUCACUCUCCUGGUGGUAAACACUAAUCCCCUCCCUUGUCUUUCUCUCAUUUUUUUGUCCCUGAAGAAGGGAUGAAUGGAUGAAUGUCUUAGGCACUCCUGUUUCUGAGAUGGAGUGAAGGGGACUUGCUUCCUCCUAAUGGGAGAACAAGAACAUUUCCACAAAUACUUUUUAAAAAAGAUUUAUUAUAUAUAAGUACACUGUAGCUGCCUCCAGACACACCAGAAGAGGGCAUCAGACCUCAUUUCGGAUGGUUGUGAGCCACCAUGUGGUUGCUGGGAUUUGAACUCUGAAACUCUGGAAGGGCAAUCAGUGCUCUUAACCACUGAGCCAUCUCUCCAGCCCUCCACAAAUAUUCUUGACUCUGAGAGUUUAGACCUAGCUACUCCUCAAAGCCAUGUUUCUGUAAGAGAAAUAUUUCUUUUAUGCUGUUUACACUUGGUCUGGCUGACGGUUUGAUUGGAAAAUCUGUGGCAUAUAAAUGGCAAGAAACCCAUUUAGUUCUCAGGCUGGUAGAACAAGCACUCUGGGAUCCAGGUAGCCCCUGGAGGUCAUACCCCGAGGUCACAGUUUCCUCACUGUUCAGGUUUAGAUUCAUCCCACACAGGGCACUGCUCACUGGGCUGGCGCCUGCAGAAGGAGCACUUUGUUGUCCGGAGGGUUGCUCAGUGUGUGGUGCACAUCUAAAUCCCAGCACUUGGAAGGCAGAGGCAGGUGGAUAUCUGUGAGUUCAAAGCCAGGUUGGUCUAUGUAAUAAAACCUUGUCUCAAAAACGAAUACAACAACCAAAACAGGCUAGAGGGGCCCUGGCCAUGGCUCUGAGCCCAAGGAUACUUCAGCAGUGAGAGUUCUUUUCUUCUGGUGACUUGACUUCCAGGAUCGAUCCUUGUUUUUCAUGCCCAUCUUUGUGGGGAUUCUUAGUGAUGGAUAGAAAAGGCACCUUUAAAAGUCAGUAUUUGCUGAGUAUAACCAGUUUCUGUGAGUAUAGAAAAUUGUAUCAGGGACAGCAGUUUGGUAGUCUCUACCUUUAAAAGAAAGAUUUGUUUUUAUUUCAUGUGUAUGUUUUUGCCUGUAUGUGCACCAUAUGCAUGCAGUACCCAAAAAGCCCAGCAGAGGGCGGUCGUGAAAUGUCACGUGGGUGCUAGAACCCAAACCUGGCUCUUCUGCAAGAGUAGCCAAGCGCUCUGAACUGUUGAGCCAGCCCUACAGGCCCCUCUCAGUAUUUUUAAAAAUACAGUUUCAGACAUGUAUAUAAUACCCUCUCCUUUUUAUGCCUUCUCACCCUUCUAACCUCCACUCCUCCUCCCUGCUUCCCCGUUUCCCCUCCCUUCCCUGCACCCUCACUCCCCACCCCUACCCCAACUCCCUGGCUCUGC